AAUAUUAACAUGCUUAAGAAUUGCCUAGGUAUUUGUUAAAUUUGAAAAUGCUCACGUCCCAACACCUGAGAGUCUGAUUCAGUGAUAUGUAAAAAGUUGCAUUUUUAGCACACUCCCCAAGUGAUCUCCAUAUUUGGAGAAAUGUGUCUCUGAGUCCUAGUGCCAAAGUGGAGGGCUGACUGGGAUUGGGGUAUUGGUUGUCCUGGCCACUGUUUUCCAUCAAUCAUGUCCAACAAACUGCAGCUUUCUUACCUGUAAAGGGUUGGGAUGUACUAGAUCUGUAAGGUCUCUUCAGCUCUACCCUGUAUACAUCUAUAAAUAAUAUUAAAUGAAAGAACAAAGAUAUAUUCGUACAUUAUUUCCAACUCUAAAAAACACUAUAAAUAUGGCUAAAGGCUGUUGUCGUUGUUGGGUGCUGUUGAGUCAAUAUUCGACUCAUAGCAACCCCACUUGAUAGAUUAGAACUGCCCCACAGGGUUUCCUAAGCUGUAAUCCUUCUGGGAGCAGAUCCCCAGGUCUUUCUCCCGAGGAACCACCAGUGGGUUUGAACCACCAACCCCUCAGUUAACAACCAAGCACUCAACCGUGGUGCCACCACGUGAUUUUCUUAUACUCGGCUAAAGACUAGAAGAGAUUAAAAAGAUAUAUAUGUAGCUGUACUAUGGUGAAAUUCUGGAUGUACUUUAAAAAUAAGCUAUUGAAAUGGUAAAUAAUUUUUUUUUUCCAAGACAGUGGUGGACAAUGAUGUCAGGGACAUUGAGGAAGAUGAGAAUAAAGAACAGACCUUUGAAUUUAAAUGUGAUGAUUAUGACGUCACUGGUGAAAUUAGAGAGAGCAGCUUAGUAUACCAAUGGGCACGAAAAUCAUUCUGGGGCAAGAAAAAAGUGGGUGGAUUGUAAACGGAAGUGAAAAGAAGAGUGAGCAGUAAGUAAAGGGAAAGGUAAAGUUAACAUAUCUUUUAAACUAGGAGAGACCUUUCAUACAGAGACCGAAGUCACAAGCAGGAGACCCUGAAAGUCAAAGGACACUGUGAGGAAGCAGCUUCAGCAAGAAGUUACGUUUUCUCAUGAAAGAGGAAGAAGAGACGAUCUGCUACUCAUUGUUUCUCCAAGGAUGGGCCCUGAUUGACUUUACGGCAAUCAGAGUAUCUCCACCUCAGUCUCCAUCAUCCUGACUAGAAUGAAAUGGUAUGGAACAGUGUAAUGAGCAAUAGAAAUAUGGAACCAAGAAGCAAUUAUGUCUUCAAAGGAACAAAAUGAGAGCAAAUAAAAGGCCUUGCAUAAGUUAGCACACAAACAGGCAGAUCAGAACAUCAUUUACAGGGUCCAAAUGCAUGCCGUUUGGUUAUGUCUGUAAAUUAUCUCCCACAAACAUCAUGUUAUAUCACUGGAGAAUCAUUUCUGGGUUAUAAUAAAAAUUGGAUUUCUCAAAGGCCCUAAAACAUCUCAAAUUCAAUUUCACCAAUACUGAGUACCUCUAAUCUGUCAGCCAUUGCUAGGCACUGGGGCUGCAAGAUAAAUAGGGCAUAAUAUCUACCCUCAAAAUGCUUAUAGUCCAGUCAACAAAUGGAGCUAUACCAAGUAAAUACAAUGUAAUAUGUGCUGGGUAACACAGAAGAGGGCACAUAUAAUUCUGUUUAAAAAGACAGGGAAAGCCUUUACAAAGAAGUAAGCAGGACUGAAGAAAAACUAGAACCAGGUAGAUACUGGGGAGACUAGUUUCCCAGCCUUUCAGUGAGAAAAGUGCCCAAGAGUUCCCUGGGAGUGAAUGGGAGUCAGAAUUCAACCCCCUGCCUGAAGCCCGAGACUAAACCAAAGGUACCCACCUGUGAACUUGGGCUAAGAUAGAUCCAACUAAGUUUUUAGAAGUUUUCUACUCGAAGUGACAGGAAGCAGUGGUUCUUGUAUAAAAACAGAAACUGGGCCUGUGCUGUCCAUAGGUAUAGCAUCUAAAAUGGUGCUCUUUAAUGGUGUAAAAUGCCCAAGCUGUGGAUCAGAGCUGUCCAUCUCAGAGGACCAGGCUGAGGAAGCAAUGAAACCAUUCAAUAGCGAGGAACAUGCAUAGGAAAACAUUCCGUAAUGAUCUGCUUUCAUACAAAAAUUACAAAGCACAUAAAUGUAUAUUAAAUGACAGCCAGUUGGCAGACCCAAGAAAUCGGGUAAAUCACAUCUAAGGACAUAGAAAUAAUGGAGCAAAUUACCACCAUGUUUAGAACAAAUUUGUUUAGAAUCCUCAAAGAGAUAAACCAAAAAAUAGCAUUCUUAAAAUGAGAAGUUAUUAAAUUGGAAAAGGCAAAAACAUUAACAAGAAAUUAUUGAAAAUGAAAAUUGAGUAAAACCUUCAUAACCAAAACCAAACCCAUUGCUGUCGAGUUGAUUCCGACCCACAGUGACCCUAUAGGACAGAGUAGAACUGCCCCAUAGAGCUUCCAAGGAGCGCCUGGCGGAUUUAAACUGCCGACCCUUUGGUUAGCAGCCGUAGCACUUAACCACUACACCACCAGGGUUUCCAAAACCUUCAUAGAUGUGAUAAAUAGUAUUAUAGAUAAAAGAGAAUCAGUAUAUUGGAACAGAGAACUAAAUAAAUGUGGUAGAGGCUGGCUAGAUAAUAGAGAUCACCAAUUCUGUGGUGAUCUCUGUGGUUAGGAUUGUGUGUCAUCUUGGCUGGGCCAUGAUUUUCAGUGUUUAUACGUAAUCACUCCCAUGAUGGCAUCUGCUGUGAGUAGGCAAUCAGUUGAAGGGGAGUUUCCUUGGGGCUGUGGCUUGCAUCUGAAUAGAAGCAAAUGUUCUAGGUUUUUCCUCUCUUUGGAUCCUGCGGUUGCCUCUUGUUCAUCUGACCUCUGGUUCUUGAGGCUUGAGCUAUCAGCUUAUCUGCCAAUCUUGAGACACAUCGAUCUUCACAACCUGUGAGCGGGAACCCUGCCCUCUAACCUACUGAUCUUGGAUUUGCCAGCCCCUGCAGCUAUGUGAAUCAGGAGAAGCCUUGUGGUCUUGCCUGUCAACCUUGGGAUUCAUCAAUCUUCACAGCCUGUGAGCAAUAGCCCUGCUCUCCAACCUGCUGAUCUUAGGUUCACCAGCCCCUGCAGCUACGUGAAUUGAGAGAAGCCUCUAUGCUGAUCCAUGGACUUGGGAUGUUCCAGCCUCUACAGUUGUUUGAGCCAUUUCCUUGAUAUAAAUCUCUCUCUAUAUAUAUAUUUAUAUGCUUUACUGGUUUUGCUUCUCUAGAACACCCAGCCUAAGACAAAUUCUAUUUCCUCGUCUUGGGCAAAUAAGAAAACUAUAUUUUCUGGAUGCCCUUGUAGUAAGAUUGGGAUUAUAUGAUUGAAAUGUGACUGAAAGUUCUGUAUAUCACGUUUAGGCCUAGCCACAAAACAUAUGCUUUUCUCCUUUUUUGGAGGUCAUGAAGACCAUGUGUAGGUGAUGGAAACAUCACAAGAUCAAACAAAGGAGUUUGGACUCUGAGUCAUAGCUUGGAGGAGACCUGUCUAUAGAGCCACCCAACCUGCAUGAUAAUGUAACAUAAGCAAGAAAUAAGCCUUUGUUGUACUUUCUCGGUUUAUCUGUCGUACAGUAUAUUUAGCAUAAAAAAUCAAAAACCCACUGCCGUCGAGUCAAUUCUGACUCAUAGCAACCCUAUAGGACAGAGUAAAACUGCCCCAUAGAGUUUCCAAGGAGCACCUGGCAAAUUCGAACUGUUGACCUUUUGGUUAGCAGCCGUAGCACUUAACCUCUAUGACACCAGAGUUUCCAUAUUUAGCGUAGCCUAUCCUAAAUAUAUAGGAAAUCACCCAGAAUGCAAAGAAAGAAGAUAAAUAUACAGAGAAAUGAAAACAAAGUUAUGCGGGAUAGACUGAGAAGCUCCAACAUAUGACUGACAGAUGUUCAAGAUGGAGAGAAUAGUUAAAAUGGGUGACAGAAAAUAUUACAAGAGACAAUAGACUGAAAAUUUUGCAGAAUUAAAUAAAGACAUAAAUCCUCAGAUUGAAAAAAAUAAAGUCAUUCAGUGUAGUAACUUCGUUGCAGCAGUAAAUUUCACAAUAAUGGUUCAAAAAAAAAAAAUCAGGCCAAAGUUUAGGAACAUACUGUCACCUUUUUUAUAGCUCUUCAUUCAUUCAUUAAUUCUUUCAUUCACUCAGAAAAGAAAAAUUUUUUAUAUGAUUUAUUUUAUUUUAUACAAGAAAUAUUUUUAAGAUUAUUCUGUGUCAAAUUCCUUGUUAGAAACUGGGAGUUGAGGAGCCGGGAGUUUACGAUCUAGUGGGAAAUCAAAGAAGUAGCUGGCAGGUACUACAGGCUGUAUAGGGUAAA